UACAGAGGUCCCAAGCGUUGUUCGGAUUCAUUGGGCGUAAAGGGUGCGUAGGCGGCGCGGUAAGUCGGGUGUGAAAUCUCGGAGCUUAACUCCGAAACUGCAUUCGAUACUGCCGUGCUUGAGGACUGGAGAGGAGACUGGAAUUUACGGUGUAGCGGUGAAAUGCGUAGAUAUCGUAAGGAAGACCUGCGGCGAAGGCGGGUUGCUGGGCUGACACUGACGCUGAUGCGCGAAAGCCAGGGGAGCGAACGGG
rnacentral:rRNA from 1 species